CAGCAGCCGCGGGAAUACGAAGGGGGCUAGCGUUGUUCGGAAUUACUGGGCGUAAAGGGCGCGUAGGCGGCCAUUCAAGUUAGAUGUGAAAGCCCUGGGCUCAACCUAGGAAUUGCAUUUGAUACUGUUUGGCUUGAGUUCGGGAGAGGUGAGUGGAAUUCCCAGUGUAGAGGUGAAAUUCGUAGAUAUUGGGAAGAACACCAGUGGCGAAGGCGGCUCACUGGACCGACACUGACGCUGAGGCGCGAAAGCGUGGGGAGCAAACAGGAUUAGAUACCCCAGUAGUCCCUGUCUCUUAUAC
rnacentral:rRNA from 1 species